rnacentral:sRNA from 1 species
UUUAUCCUUAGAACAGGUACAGUGUAGGCAAGCUUCCCUGACAGAGCUCUACCACAGUGGCUCAGUCCUGACCUGGGAGAACCACUUUAUGGAUAUG